rnacentral:lncRNA from 13 species
GAACGUAAAGAUCACUCCCACCUUCCUCAGUCCCUCCAUCAGGGGCACUGCUGUCAUUUCUGAUCAGCACCUCUCUGCAUCUGUCUACUCCAAUGAUGUAAAUACAUCAUUGGUCUACUCCCUCCCUCCUCCCAACACUUUCAACUGUCUCCUGGGGGCGCGUUCAGUCAGCAGGAGAACAAUAACAGUCACUAGAGAGGUAGAGUCUAACACAACGCUGCUGCUUUAUCAGGCUGUGGAGCUCGCCUCAUCUCCUAGCUACAGGUGGAUAGGGGGAACUUUAGAAACUACAAAUGCAACUGUGAUCAAGAAGGAUUUUAAAGACUUUCCUGCAUUUUCCACUGUGUCCAUGGAGAUUAGCAGUGUUUCUCUUGCUUACCCGACGGUGUUUGUGUGCGUUUACCUUCUUUAAUGCCUCUUAGGGAGGUUGUUUACGUGUUUUUGUCUCAGGGUUAAAGUCAUACUAAAUGUAAUUGAAUCAUUAUUCCGUAUUAGGCUAUAUGCAUUGUUUAACUUCUUGAUAGUACAGUUGAUGGUAAAACAGUAUGUAUUUGUCUAUUCCUGGGUGGAAUACACUUGUUAGUUGUUCUGGGUGACUAGAAUGUAAAAGCAGUGUCUAAAUGAAUAUACUUGUUAACCUUUAACCCUCUCUGUCUCCCUCUCUGCAGAUAGCUGAGGCCUUUGUCCUCCAGGAAGAUUGUAUCCUUAUCACUUGUGUGUGUGCUUGUUUGACCGUGUGUGAGAGCGUAUGUGUGUGUGUGUGUAUGACGUGUGUUAUGCCCUCUAGGACGAUGAAGAGUGUAUCCUUAUCAGUCAGCUCAUAUCUCUGUCUCUCUAGUAAAUGACAGGGUUCUCUGGUUCAUUCCAACUCUCAGGCUGUGCUGUGUUCCAGUUUAAACCUACCACAGGGUUCAAGCAUCUUAUCGUUGUGCUCUUUCUUUUGGUCAGACAGGAACACUAGAUGUUUUCUGUGCAGGGGCUUUCUACAGCAAAGCUGUGGGCUUAUACAGAGCGCCUCAGUGCCUAGAGAGAGAGAGACAGAGAGAGAGAGAGAAAGACAGAGAGAGAGAGAGAGAGACCAUUCCUGUGUAAUAUAUGGAGCUCUCAGUACACUGCUCUAUGUAGGACAGAUUCAGAACCAACUGGAGACAUGAUGGACCACAGGGAAAAGCCCAGUAGACAUACAUAGUUAUGUUCCUAUCACCCAUACAAAGCUAUUGGUUCAGAAGGAGAGAAAGAAAAUAUGUUUACAAGUUUGGAAUCCGUACCCUUCCUCGACACGCAGCCCAUGGAGUGUAGGGCAACUGGGGAACGCACUCAUUCAAGCUCACACACAGCUAUGAUCCCUUAUUGAUGUCAGUGUAGAUGAAGGGGAGGAGACAGGUUAAAGAAAGAUGUUUAAGCCUUGAGACAGGUAUUGUGUGUGUGUGCCAUUCAAAGGGUGAACCAGCAGGACAAAAUAUUUAAGUGUCUUUGAACGGGGUAUGGUAGUUGGUGCCAGGAGCACCAGUUUGUGUCAAGAACUGCAACGCUGCUGGGUUUUUCAUGUUCAACAGUUUCCCACGUCUAUCAAGAAUGGUCCACCACCCAAAGGACAUCCAGCCAACUUGACACAACUGUGGAAAGCAUUGGAGUCAAAUGGGCCAGCAUCCCUGUGUUCCUAAUGUUUUGUACACUCAGUAUAUCUACCAUUUUAAGGUGAUUCAUUGUUGUUAGCCUCCUAUCUUGAUAUCUCUUAGUGCUUGGUGAGUGCUGUGUGUUUGUUGCUGCUAAUCUCUUUAUAUUCUGUGGGGACAUUCUCUAUCUACUCUCUCUCUCUCCCUCUCUCUCUCUCUCUCUCUCUCUCUCUCUCCUGAAAACCCCACCCUGCCUCUAUCUUUCCAUCUCUUUAGCUCGGCAAACUCUUUUUCCUCCCCUUAAUUCUAAGUGUGCACUCGUUCCCUCCCCUUCGUGGAUUUAAAAGCCUUGUAGAGGUCCCCUGUCUAGCGUUUAAAAGCCUUGUCUGGUUUGUGUGGUUGACUCAAGUGGUUUGUUUGUCUCAUUGUUAUUUUGUAGGUCCCCUCCACCCUCACACAAGAUACACCUACUCUUCAUUCACUCAUCAUCUCAUUUGUAUUACAAAACAAUGACUGAAUUAUGUAGGCAGAUUAGUCAUAUUGUGUGUGUGUGUGUGUGUGUGUGUGUGUGUGUGUGUUUCCUUAACCCUGUGUUGACCAGAUGAGCGAGCAGUGUGCUGUGUUCAGCUGGAGAGACUCUACCACCAGAGAUGACUACACAACCUGACAACACUGCAGGAACAGUGGGGUAUCUCUCACUCACUCACUCACUCACUCACUCACUCACUCACUCACUCACAGAGCCAAUUGAAGUCUCAUUAUGUAUAAUUACCUCACCUUCUCUCCCUCCCCUUACUUUCUUGGUGUGUUUAUGCUGUGUCAUGAUUAUUUCCUCCCUCUAACCUCUGACCUUUGUUCUUCCAGAGAGGAGGUGUAGGUCAGACGGUCAGGGAGUGAGGAACAAUAACACCAACCUGGCUGCACAGCAACUGGACAGACUCGCAUACAUCUGCCAAACACACCAACGGUUUGUAAAGGGGGUCUUUAGAUGUGGUCCUUUACAGCUCAGUACAGGUAAAUGUCCUAUAACAAGGAAGACCUUGAGAGGCAGGUAAAGGGAUGUACAUCGACACACCUGUGCUCUCCCAGGUAGUUACAGUGGUGAUGGGUUUAACAUAUGGCUCUUUGGUGUUGCUGCACUUUCAGUCAUUUGAGUUGCAGCACUGCUAGAGUUUGACACACACUGAAAAACAUAGGGAAAUGAGCAUUCCCUGGUGGCCUUGGCUACUCAGACCUUUCUUCAAUCAUAGAGGAGGAAAGUCACAGUACUAACUGACUUUAUCUCUCUCUCUCCCCCCAUCUCUCUCUCUCCCCAUCUCUCUCUCUCUCCCCAUCUCUCUCCCCAUCUCUCUCCCCAUCUCUCUCCCUAUCUCUCUCCCCAUCUCUCUCUCUCUCCCCA